GGGUAUUUAGCUCAGUGGUAUAAGCACCUGCCUUGCAAGCAUGCAGUCCUGAGUUCAAUCCCUAGUACCUA
rfam:Cavia porcellus supercont2_86 genomic scaffold, whole genome shotgun sequence.